GCCUAUCAACUGUUUAAAAGAUUAGGGUUCUGCUAUCACUCUUGGGAUGGGACCCUGCGGUGCAUUUAGCUAGUUGGUAGGGUAACGGGCCUACCAAGGCGAUGAUGCAUAGCCCCGAGUUGAGAGACUGAUCGGGCCACAUUGGGGACUGAGACACGGGCCCAAAACUCCUACGGGGAGGCAGCAGUAGGGAAUCUUCCACAAUGGACGCAAGUCUGAUGGAGCAACGCCGCGUGAGUGAAGAAGGGUUUCGGCUCGUAAAAGCUCUGUUGUUGGUGAAGAAGGACAGGGGUAGUAACUGACCUUUGUUUGACGGUAAUCAAUUAGAAAGUCACGGCUAACUACGUGCCAGCAGCCGCGGUAAU
rnacentral:rRNA from 1 species